UCUCUCAUAGUAUAACGAGUAGUACGCACACCUGAUGUCGAGAUCAUUAUCAGAACGUCUGGGUGAGAUCCGGGUUCGAUUCCCGGUGAGAGAG